GAAGACGGCCAUAGUAACCUGGAAAUACCCGAACUCAUCCCGAACUCGGAAGUCAAGCAGGUUACGCCUACUGUGUUAGUCUCCCACAAGAGGCGAAGCUUGGGUGCUGUCUUCG
rnacentral:rRNA from 1 species